rnacentral:rRNA from 1 species
UAGCAAGGGCCGGGCAAGACCGGUGCCAGCCGCCGCGGUAACACCGGCGGCCCGAGUGGUGAUCGUGAUUAUUGGGUCUAAAGGGUCCGUAGCCGGUUUGGUCAGUCCUCCGGGAAAUCUGACAGCUUAACUGUUAGGCUUUCGGAGGAUACUGCCAGACUUGGAACCGGGAGAGGUAAGAGGUACUACAGGGGUAGGAGUGAAAUCUUGUAAUCCCUGUGGGACCACCUGUGGCGAAGGCGUCUUACCAGAACGGGUUCGACGGUGAGGGACGAAAGCUGGGGGCACGAACCGGAUUAGAUACCCGGGUAGUCCCAGCCGUAAAUGAUGCUCGCUAGGUGUCAGGCAUGGCGCGACCGUGUCUGGUGCCGCAGGGAAGCCGUGAAGCGAGCCACCUGGGAAGUACGGCCGCAAGGCUGAAACUUAA